rnacentral:lncRNA from 1 species
AUUCUAUUUCUUCCUUAGUUGUUUUAGUCUUGGGGAUUGAUUUUUUGAACCAAGAUGAUUCCGUGAUCUUGGAGAUGGCGAUUCGGGUUUUCGGGUUCGGGUCUAAAAGCUUGGAUAUUAGCCUCCGAGCUUCAGGUGAGAACCAUGGCGGACACUUGAAAUCUCCUCUGUAAAUCUUCUUAUACAUCGCCACCAAGUUAUCAUCUUGAAACGGUAAAAACCCGGCGAGAAGAACGUAUAAAAUCACCCCACAAGACCAAAUAUCCGCCUUGGCUCCGUCGUACCCUUUUUUUCCAAUGACUUCCGGCGCCACAUACGCCGGCGUUCCGCAAGUCGUGUGCAACAACCCGUCUUGUUUCAAAUGUUCCGUGAAAGCGCUGAGUCCGAAAUCGGUGACCUUCAAGUUGCCUUCUUCGUCUAAGAGAAGAUUCUCCGGCUUCAAAUCACGGUGGUAAACGCCGCGGCUGUGGCAGAAAUCGACGGCGGAAACGAGCUGCUGGAAGUAAACCCUGGCAGCGUCUUCCUUGAGACGACCUUUGGCGAUUUUCGAGAAGAGCUCGCCGCCGCGGACGAGCUCCAUGGCGAAGUAAAUCUUGGACUUGCUCGCCAUCACUUCGUGCAGCUCGACGAUGUUGGGGUGUUUCACCAUUUUCAUGACGGAGAUCUCUCGCUUGAUCUGCUCCAUCAUCCCGACUUGGAUCACUUUCUCUUUGCCCACCACUUUCAUGGCGACAUUCUUCCCUGUUUGAAGGUUCUUCGCAUGGUAGACUUUGGCGAAGGUUCCAUGACCCAACAUACGGCCAAGCUCGUAUUUUCCAUGGAGUAAAGAUGGGUUUUCGGUUUUAGCUUUGUCCGCCAUUUUUGAACCGUAAAAGCUCGAGAAAUUAAAAAGAAAAAUAAGAAAAGAAACGGAUACCCUUUGAUCUGAAGUACUGUAUAUUUACAAUAUAAGUGAGAAAUAUAUGUAUAUUUAAAACUGAAAGCCUUCAAACUGAAUCACCCGUCUUCGACGUGUUUUCGGUGACAAUUUCGGCCGCCGAUGGAGCGCUUACGGUGGUAACAAAGCUCAGGCCUUGCCAACGAUGAACGUCUCAUCUCUCUGCAUUCCCCAAGGGGAUUUUUACACUUGUAAAAUUAUAAUG